UAUAGCUUAGUGGUUAGAGCACUCGCCUUACAAGCGAGAGGACCUGGGUUCGAUCCCCAGCAGAGCAA